ACCCUCAAUAAUUAGGCCCAGGAGGAAACAAGUAAUUUACAACUUCUGAGAAAGACAGCCAUUCUUUAACAUUUAUGGUUUUGAUGCUGCAGUACAGGCUCGAUGUUCAGCUCAGUGUAUCAAUGUUCCCACAUACAGGGUGUUUGCAGAGCAAGGGCCUAAGAGUGAAUUCACACACACCUGGGGAAUUCUGAAAGGCCAGCAGGGAGACCUUUGGUGUGAGAACCGUCUGGCCAACUCCAACGUGAUGUUUAUAACUCGGCUUUGAGGUAUAAGUGGACUUUGGUAAUAUGGAUGAAACUGUACAGUGCUGAAGUCUGAAGCUUCAGUGCCCAUCAACCAAGUAGUGCACAUUGUAGGAAACCUGUCUUACUCCGGCAGUGAGUAACAUUCACCCAAGACCAGGAACUAACAAGAAAAAAGUAUUUCAUUAAAAGAGGUCUUGCUGUCACCCCGGCUGGAGUGCAAUGGCACGAUCUCAACUCACUGCAACCUCUGCCUCCUGGGCUCAAGCUAUCCUCCAACCUCAGCUCCCAGGUGUUCGGCAAGCAUUUGACAGAAUAAGUAAAUGACUCUGAAAUCAUGAUUUUAACAACCACUGCAUUACAUGUCCUUGGAGGAACAACCUCAGUGUAACUGUUGAAUGCUUAGUGGAGAUAAACAGGAGUCUCUGGAAUACAUGAAUUCACAUACAGGAAGGCACUGCAGUAUAACAGACUGAACAAGUGAUUUGAAGUCAUAAGAACGGGGUUUGUGCCAUGGCUUUGGUCAGUAAAGAUGGCGUCAUCUCGGGUAAGGUGCCCCAUUUCUCUGGUCUUUAGCAUUUGUAAGGUGCAGACAGCAUCUAUUUCGUGAAGCUGUGGUGGAGAUAAAAUCAGGCCACAUGUAGGGGAAA